rnacentral:rRNA from 1 species
UACAGAGGUCCCAAGCGUUGUUCGGAUUCACUGGGCGUAAAGGGUGCGCAGGUGGGUUUGCAAGUUCGAUGUGAAAGCCCCGGGCUUAACCCGGGAAUGGCAUUGGAUACUGCAGAUCUGGAGGAUCGGAGGGGGGACUGGAAUUCUUGGUGUAGCAGUGAAAUGCGUAGAUAUCAAGAGGAACACCAGUGGCGAAGGCGAGUCUCUGGGCCGAUACUGACGCUGAGGAGCGAAAGCGUGGGGAGCGAACAGG